rnacentral:lncRNA from 1 species
AAGACACUUGCUGGGUGACCCAAGGCAAGGUUCAUCCACCGGAGAGAGGACCUCCACCCCCGCUCUCCUCUGGUCAGCCAUCCUAAACCCUCAGAAGGAGCCAUUGGUCCACCUUGUAAUACGACUGCUUCUACUGCAGUCCCUUGAUGGGGGCGAAGGUGCAGCACGACAUGACAGUCCCAAAGGAAGGGAACUGCUGCAAAGGGCCAGAAUAGAUGACAAUUAUCCCAACCUCUAAGCCAAAGUUAGUCCUUGUUCCUGAAUACCAUCAAGUCAUCGUCUGUUACAAGGGACGUGUUCUACAAUAGUAAUGAUGAUGAUGC